rnacentral:rRNA from 1 species
AAAAACAUCGCCUCUUGACUUAUAAUAAGAGGUCCAGCCUGCCCAGUGAAUUUUUAACGGCCGCGGUAUCCUAACCGCGCGAAGGUAGCAUAAUCACUUGUUCUUUAAAUGGGGACUCGUAUCAACGGCAUCACGAGGGUUUUACUGUCUCCUCUUUUUGAUCAGUGAAAUUGAUCUUCCCGUGAAGAAGCGGGAAUAAUACUAUAAGACGAGAAGACCCCAUGGAGCUUAAAACCAAAUAACAACUUAACCACUCACCCCCCUAUAAAUUUAAGCCCUGUUAUAAGGUUUUCGGUUGGGGUGACCGCGGAGUAAAGCUCAUCCUCCACGACGGAAAGAACACACUCUUUAUUUAAGAACCACAAUUCUAGAAAUUAGUAUACUAACGUUUACUGACCCGAUAAUCGAUCAACGGACCAAGUUACCCUGGGGAUAACAGCGCAAUCUACUUCAAGAGCUCAUAUCGACAAGUAGGCUUACGACCUCGAUGUUGGAUCAGGGUAUCCCGGUGGUGCAGCCGCUACCGAAGGUUCGUUUGUUCAACGAUUAAAACCCUACGUGAUCUGAUGU